AGUAACACGUGGGUAAACCUACCUAUAAGACUGGGAUAACUUCGGGAAACCGGAGCUAAUACCGGAUAAUAUUUCGAACCCGCAUGGUUCGAUAGUGAAAGAUGGUUUUGCUAUCACUUAUAGAUGGACCCGCGCCGUAUUAGCUAGUUGGUAAGGUAACGGCUUACCAAGGCGACGAUACGUAGCCGACCUGAGAGGGUGAUCGGCCACACUGGAACUGAGACACGGUCCAGACUCCUACGGGAGGCAGCAGUAGGGAAUCUUCCGCAAUGGGCGAAAGCCUGACGGAGCAACGCCGCGUGAGUGAUGAAGGUCUUC
rnacentral:rRNA from 1 species